AUAAAAUAUAAAACUUCGUGUGUAAUACAAAUAACAAGUAUUUUUGUAUUAAUUUACAAUUCAGCAUGAAGAUAUUUGGAAUAUAUUAUUGGGGUCUUAUUUUUUUAAUCUUUUGUUUCACCGAUGCUUGCUCUAUAUGCAAUGCACGUGAUAUGGGAGAAGAUGGUUCAGGAAAAUACGUUAAAGUUCCCAUUCCUAGAAGAAAAUAUAUUGUUCGACUGAUAAAUAGCACGUCCCCUUAUUAAUAUUACUAUAAAAUUUGGAACCAUUUAGGUUUUGUUUCAUUUAUAUACUACAUCACAUUUGACUAAAGCAUAUAAACAGACUAUUGUGCACAAAGUUUUUUUUUCUUCUUUUUGGGGUGUGUGUUUACACUAGUUGAGCGCGACAAAUAACUAAUUGGACGUCAUUUGUUACCUGACAGGCCUAUCGCAAGUUUUCACAAAAUAAAAUACCUGGAAAAGUUCAAAAGACAUUAGAUAGACCAAAAACUACAUUGGCCCCUCAAAUACAAGAAAUAUUUCAGCAAAUCAACGACAGUUCGAUUUAUAACAAGACUUAUCGCGAAACAAUUCUACACCAGUUGAAGCUGAUCUUUCAUACUUCAUCUACGACCCUACGCCCUCGUUGCAGAAAAAAUAUUAUUCAUUCAUGAGUGUUUAUAAUUUAUAUAUAAUCAUUAAUUUAUUAUAAAAAUAUCUUUAAUUUA